rnacentral:rRNA from 1 species
GACAUAGGUGGCGAACGUUAUCCGGAUUUAUUGGGCGUAAAGGAUGCGUAGAUGGUGGAAUAAGUUAUUGGUCAAAGUCAAGCUCAACUUGGCGGAAGCUGGUAAUACUAUUCUACUUGAGGAUAGGAGAGGUUGGCGGAAUUCUGUGUGGAGCGGUGAAAUUCGUAGAUAUUCGGAGGAACACCAGUGGCGAAGGCGACACACUGGCUCACUACUGACGCUGAGGCGCGAAAGCGUGGGGAGCAAACAGG